AAAGGAAUAGACGGGGGCCCGCACAAGCAGCGGAGCAUGUGGUUUAAUUCGAAGCAACGCGAAGAACCUUACCAGGUCUUGACAUCCAGUUAAAGCCAUAGAGAUAUGGUGUGUGCUUGCACAAACUGAGACAGGUGGUGCAUGGUUGUCGUCAGCUCGUGUCGUGAGAUGUUGGGUUAAGUCCCGCAACGAGCGCAACCCUUAUUUUCAGUUACUAACGGGUAAAGCCGAGGACUCUGAAGAGACUGCCGGGGACAACUCGGAGGAAGGUGGGGACGACGUCAAAUCAUCAUGCCCCUUAUGACCUGGGCUACACACGUGCUACAAUGGCCACCACAGAGAGGGGCAAACCCGUAAGGGGGAGCGGAUCUCAAAAAAGUGGUCCCAGUUCGGAUUGUGGGCUGCAACCCGCCCACAUGAAGUCGGAGUUGCUAGUAAUCGCGGAUCAGCAUGCCGCGGUGAAUACGUUCCCGGGCCUUGUACACACCGCCCGU
rnacentral:rRNA from 1 species